rnacentral:rRNA from 1 species
GACGAACGCUGGCGGCGUGCUUAACACAUGCAAGUCGAACGGAAAGGCCCUGCUUUUGUGGGGUGCUCGAGUGGCGAACGGGUGAGUAACACGUGAGUAACCUGCCCUUGACUUUGGGAUAACUUCAGGAAACUGGGGCUAAUACCGGAUAGGAGCUCCUGCUGCAUGGUGGGGGUUGGAAAGUUUCGGCGGUUGGGGAUGGACUCGCGGCUUAUCAGCUUGUUGGUGGGGUAGUGGCUUACCAAGGCUUUGACGGGUAGCCGGCCUGAGAGGGUGACCGGCCACAUUGGGACUGAGAUACGGCCCAGACUCCUACGGGAGGCAGCAGUGGGGAAUAUUGCACGAUGGGCGGAAGCCUGAUGCAGCAACGCCGCGUGCGGGAUGACGGCCUUCGGGUUGUAAACCGCUUUCGCCUGUGACGAAGCGUGAGUGACGGUAAUGGGUAAAGAAGCACCGGCUAACUACGUGCCAGCAGCCGCGGUGAUACGUAGGGUGCGAGCGUUGUCCGGAUUUAUUGGGCCUAAAGGGCUCGUAGGUGGUUGAUCGCGUCGGAAGUGUAAUCUUGGGGCUUAACCCUGAGCGUGCUUUCGAUACGGGUUGACUUGAGGAAGGUAGGGGAGAAUGGAAUUCCUGGCGGAGCGGUGGAAUGCGCAGAUAUCAGGAGGAACACCAGUGGCGAAGGCGGUUCUCUGGGCCUUUCCUGACGCUGAGGAGCGAAAGCGUGGGGAGCGAACAGGCUUAGGUACCCUGGUAGUCCACGCUGUAAACGGUGGGUACUAGGUGUGGGGUCCAUUCCACGGGUUCCGUGCCGUAGCUAACGCUUUAAGUACCCCGCCUGGGGAGUACGGCCGCAAGGCUAAAACUCAGAGGAAUUGACGGGGCCCCGCACAAGCGGCGGAGCAUGCGGAUUAAUUCGAUGCAACGCGUAGAACCUUACCUGGGUUUGACAUGGAUCGGGAGUGCUCAGAGAUGGGUGUGCCUCUUUUGGGGUCGGUUCACAGGUGGUGCAUGGCUGUCGUCAGCUCGUGUCGUGAGAUGUUGGGUUAAGUCCCGCAACGAGCGCAACCCUUGUUCACUGUUGCCAGCACGUUAUGGUGGGGACUCAGUGGAGACCGCCGGGGUCAACUCGGAGGAAGGUGGGGAUGACGUCAAGUCAUCAUGCCCCUUAUGUCCAGGGCUUCACGCAUGCUACAAUGGCUGGUACAGAGAGUGGCGAGCCUGUGAGGGUGAGCGAAUCUCGGAAAGCCGGUCUCAGUUCGGAUUGGGGUCUGCAACUCGACCUCAUGAAGUCGGAGUCGCUAGUAAUCGCAGAUCAGCAACGCUGCGGUGAAUACGUUCCCGGGGCU